rnacentral:sRNA from 1 species
AUAUAUAUAUAUAUAUAUAUAUAUAGAUGAAUGUAUAUAUGGAUGCUGCCUGCUGAUAGCGACUGCUCCUUUCCUUAGUUCAUGAAAAUACUUCAAAAUGCAUCGAGACUGAAAAUUCACAGGAAAAUCCAAUUGCAAAUAGCAAAUGGCAGCUGAAGCGUUUCGAUCAGCACAUUUGUAGCUAUAAGAAAGAGAUAAAAAGAUAAGAAUAUUUGAUUAGUCUAAAGUCUUGGCAAAUAAACUCGUGGCUAACAAUAAAUUUUGUUUAUAUUCCUCAGCGUUCGACGUGGCUCACACUGGCGGAAUGGGAAAUCUCUUUGGGAGAGGCCUCUUCAGCAUAAUUUUAUUUAUUUCUUUUUGGGAAAUGUAUGAAAAUGGUUUUAU